GACGAACGCUGGCGGCGUGCUUAACACAUGCAAGUCGAACGGAAAGGCCCUGCUUUUGUGGGGUGCUCGAGUGGCGAACGGGUGAGUAACACGUGAGUAACCUGCCCUUGACUUUGGGAUAACUUCAGGAAACUGGGGCUAAUACCGGAUAGGAGCUCCUGCUGCAUGGUGGGGGUUGGAGAGUUUCGGCGGUUGGGGAUGGACUCGCGGCUUAUCAGCUUGUUGGUGGGGUAGUGGCUUACCAAGGCUUUGACGGGUAGCCGGCCUGAGAGGGUGACCGGCCACAUUGGGACUGAGAUACGGCCCAGACUCCUACGGGAGGCAGCAGUGGGGAAUAUUGCACAAUGGGCGGAAGCCUGAUGCAGCAACGCCGCGUGCGGGAUGACGGCCUUCGGGUUGUAAACCGCUUUCGCCUGUGACGAAGCGUGAGUGACGGUAAUGGGUAAAGAAGCACCGGCUAACUACGUGCCAGCAGCCGCGGUGAUACGUAGGGUGCGAGCGUUGUCCGGAUUUAUUGGGCGUAAAGGGCUCGUAGGUGGUUGAUCGCGUCGGAAGUGUAAUCUUGGGGCUUAACCCUGAGCGUGCUUUCGAUACGGGUUGACUUGAGGAAGGUAGGGGAGAAUGGAAUUCCUGGUGGAGCGGUGGAAUGCGCAGAUAUCAGGAGGAACACCAGUGGCGAAGGCGGUUCUCUGGGCCUUUCCUGACGCUGAGGAGCGAAAGCGUGGGGAGCGAACAGGCUUAGAUACCCUGGUAGUCCACGCUGUAAACGGUGGGUACUAGGUGUGGGGUCCAUUCCACGGGUUCCGUGCCGUAGCUAACGCUUUAAGUACCCCGCCUGGGGAGUACGGCCGCAAGGCUAAAACUCAAAGGAAUUGACGGGGCCCCGCACAAGCGGCGGAGCAUGCGGAUUAAUUCGAUGCAACGCGUAGAACCUUACCUGGGUUUGACAUGGAUCGGGAGUGCUCAGAGAUGGGUGUGCCUCUUUUGGGGUCGGUUCACAGGUGGUGCAUGCCUGUCGUCAGCUCGUGUCGUGAGAUGUUGGGUUAAGUCCCGCAACGAGCGCAACCCUUGUUCACUGUUGCCAGCACGUUAUGGUGGGGACUCAGUGGAGACCGCCGGGGUCAACUCGGAGGAAGGUGGGGAUGACGUCAAGUCAUCAUGCCCCUUAUGUCCAGGGCUUCACGCAUGCUACAAUGGCUGGUACAGAGAGUGGCGAGCCUGUGAGGGUGAGCGAAUCUCGGAAAGCCGGUCUCAGUUCGGAUUGGGGUCUGCAACUCGACCUCAUGAAGUCGGAGUCGCUAGUAAUCGCAGAUCAGCAACGCUGCGGUGAAUACGUUCCCGGGGCC
rnacentral:rRNA from 1 species